GACGAAGGAUGCAAGCGUUAUCCGGAUUCAUUGGGUUUAAAGGGAGCGUAGGUGGCCUUAUAAGUCAGUGGUGAAAUCUCUGGGCUUAACCCAGAAAUUGCCAUUGAUACUGUAGGGCUUGAGUAUAGAUGCCGUUGGCGGAAUAUGACAUGUAGUGGUGAAAUACAUAGAGAUGUCAUAGAACACCGAUUGCGAAGGCAGCUAACGAAACUAUAACUGACACUGAGGCUCGAAAAGUGUGGGGGAUCAAAACAGG
rnacentral:rRNA from 1 species